rnacentral:rRNA from 1 species
UACGGAGGGUGCAAGCGUUAUCCGGAUUCACUGGGUUUAAAGGGUGCGUAGGCGGGCAUGUAAGUCCGUGGUGAAAUCUCCGAGCUUAACUCGGAAACUGCCAUGGAUACUAUGUGUCUUGAAUGUUGUGGAGGUGAGCGGAAUAUGUCAUGUAGCGGUGAAAUGCUUAGAUAUGACAUAGGACACCAAUUGCGAAGGCAGCUCACUACACAAAUAUUGACGCUGAGGCACGAAAGCGUGGGGAUCAAACAGG